rnacentral:rRNA from 2 species
AAUGUAAUUAAAAAAACUAGAGUAUUAAUAGUUAUAUUCUUUAAACUUAAAAAAUUUGGCGGUAUUUUAGUCUAUUCAGAGGAACCUGUUUUAUAAUCGAUAAUCCACGAUGGACCUUACUUAAUCUUAUAAAUUAGUUUGUAUACCGUCGUUAUAGAAAAUUUUAUAAGAAAAAUAAUUUUCAAUAAAUUAAAAAUAAUUAUAUAUCAGAUCAAGGUGCAGCAUAUGAUUAAGUAAAUAAUGGGUUACAAUAAAUUUAUUUAAAUGGAAAUAAUAAUGAAAAAAUUAUUGAAAGUGGAUUUGAAAGUAAAAUUAUAUAGAUUAUUAAUUUGAUUUUAGCUCU